UGUCCUUAGAAAAUCCUUGCAAGACUGGAAAUACAGCUCUAGAGGCAGUUCAGAUUCCACCUAGUUCCUUUAUCACAGAAAGGAUUAUCAUCUCCCCUCUCCAGGAACUACUAUCUAGCCCAUCACUAAUUCCUAAGACUGAAGAAAAAAAAAAGAAAGAAAGAAAGAAAGAGGAGGGGAGAGGCAAAACGGCCAUAAGCGUGCCCUUGCAAAAAAUCUAGCAUCUUGAGUAUCUUCUCCACAAAUAUUGGUAAAAAACAAUAGCUGUAACAAUAGCUGUGCAGUCUCUUCUAAAAUUUUUUGACGGUGUUGUUUGCUCUUGACUGUCUCUGUUGUCACUUUGAAUGGAUGCCUGAGCAUUGUUUAACAGUGAGCGUUGUUUCCUAUUUGAACAAGUAUUUUAAAAACUUUUGAUAUUUUUGACAAGCUUCUCCCUCAAAAAAAUAUUCAAAUCCUGAAUGAAGGCUUUCUUUUGACCUGGUAGAUGGAAGAAGAAUUUCUCUGAGGAUUUUCAGAGGGCCCCUGAGACUUCUCAAAGAAAUUUGCUCUCUUCCUAUAAGGAGGAAAAUACUAAAUUAAUUAGGUUUAUUUGGUUUAUUAAAUUACAUGGGAAGCAUUGUCAAAUAAGUGAUGAUAAACUUUCUUAUGUGGUAUUACGUGGGUGAAUAUUGUUAAUAUACAUGUCUUAACAUUAUAUAGCAUUCCUAAAAUUCUAAUCUGUUCUGGUUAUCAGUCAUAAUUCCAGUUAUUAUCUUAAAGUGUUAUAUGUCACAGAAGUAGCCAAGUUUCUUUGUCAAUUGCCCUUUUGAGUCUUUUGUCCAUUUGCAGAUAGUUACUGUUUUACUCUGAUGCUUUUUGCUUUUGCAAAUAUGUUUCAUCUCCAGAGAAAUUCCUGGAAAGGAUUCUGACACAAGGGUUCUAAACUACAGGUUUCUGAUAAACUUUCAGAUUGUAAAACUGAACCGUGUAAGAAAUUACAGAAUUCUAACAGAAACUAAGCUCAUAGACCUGCUAACAGAAGAUUAAGCUCAAGAACUGAUUAUACAGGACUGUGUGAACUGAGGAGAAUGAUUAUAAUUUUUUAUGACUUCUGUUUUAAAUAUUGCUGAGUUUUGAUGUUUUGUUUUGUUUUCUCAUGUUUAAGGAAAUCUUUCUUUCUUUUCUCUUAUGCUAACUAUGACUUACAGCAAUUUAGUGAAAUACAUCUUUAUGAGCAAAACUGAAACAUUUGUCUUUUUCUCCCGACCUGAUCCCUCCAGAAUUUGGAAACUCUUUGUGAGUACGGUUAUUUCGUGGCAAUAUAGUUAUUUGCAUAAGUUCAAUAAGAAUUUGGUCCCCUUAUAACAGGACACAUUGGUUAUCUUACCAAGGCUUUGACUGGAAUGUCAUAUUUGAGAGAAAUAUACAGGCUCAGAUAUGACAACACAGCUUUUCAGGAACAAAGAUUGGACUUUCUGGAACUAAAGCCACUUGGAAAUAUGGGCCUGGUACCUUGUUUACAGAGGUUCUGGCAAUCUUACCCGGUAAGUAAGGAAGCUUGCUUGUCUGGCAGGUGCAAGGAACCUCAAAAUGUUUUGGGGGACCUCGAGAAGAGAGGAGUCCACCCAAAU
ensembl:lncRNA